rnacentral:rRNA from 1 species
UUUCGAAUCAUUCACAAUGGGCGAAAGCCUGAUGGUGCGACGCCGCGUGAGGGAUGAAGGCCUUCGGGUUGUAAACCUCUGUCACCGGGGAAGAAACGCUGCAUGUAAACAGCAUGCAGCCUGACUUAACCCGGAGAGGAAGCAGUGGCUAACUCUGUGCCAGCAGCCGCGGUAAUACAGAGACUGCAAGCGUUAUUCGGAUUCACUGGGCGUAAAGGGUGCGCAGGCGGCCGUGUGUGUGAGGCGUGAAAGCCCGGGGCUUAACCCCGGAAUUGCACCUCAAACUACAUGGCUAGAGCAUUGGAGAGGGUAGCGGAAUUCACGGUGUAGCAGUGAAAUGCGUAGAUAUCGUGAGGAACACCAGAGGCGAAGGCGGCUACCUGGACAAUUGCUGACGCUCAGGCACGAAAGCGUGGGGAGCAAAAG